UUUUCUCCGUUCUCUGUUGCCCA
rnacentral:siRNA from 1 species